CUGACAACUGAACUGCAUCUAGAGUUACAGUACUACUGUGACAGGCAGAAGGAUCAUGAUGCAAUCUGCAAGUUGAUAAUUCCACUUUUGAUUCCACUGGGAUUCAAGCUGAUCACGUGGGACCUACUCGGGCAGAGUGACGGCAUUGGCGAGUCAUCUUCAAGACCUGGACCAGCUUUUGUGACUGUGAACCAUAGACGGCAUCAAGUGGCAAGACAGGAAAACUAACGAGGUAUCGGACUGGAACGACCAACAGACAUCACAUCCUACUUCUCCCAGCAGCUCCAUCUCCACCCACCAGUAACAUCAUGUGGCGAGAUCAGGUCCCGCCAAAUGAGGUCCAGGAAUGCAGUGAGACGGUCCAACAGCGAAGCGAUCCUUUCACUGAGCAGAAGACGUGAGGCGCACGUGGGGCAGCAGGAUAUUCAAGCAGCCCCCGUAAGGCAAGCUGAAAUGGGCUCAUCAUAAAUAACGUGGAUUUUCAUGUCGCAGGGAAGCAAAACCUCAACUCUAGGUCAGAGUCAUAACCGGUUAGGAGGCAGCAGAAGGAGGAUCAGCUUGGAAUACCAUGAUUAGAAAUGGGGUGACUGCGUUAGCAUAGAGACUUCAAGAAGGUCGCCACAUCAAGAGGAGGAAAGAAAUAUGGUGUCAGGGAGUUGUGAGUAGCGAGGCGGCUGUGCAACCGGGGUCAUUCUUUAAAUGCACAGUAUGUGGAAGGACUCAUUAACGAUGCAGGGGUUUCAUUAGCCACUACUUUACUAGGAGCAGCUUGGCCCAUGACUGUCUUAGUAUAGAGUCUUCAAGAAGGUCGCCACAUCAAGAGGAGAAAAGAAAUAUGGUGUCAGGGAGUUGUGAGUAGCGAGGCGGCUGUGCAACCGGGGUCAUUCUUUAAAUGCAC